AUUUCCCGUUCACGACCGGGUGAGAGACUGUUGCCAACGGAUCAGUGUUGUGUAUUUUACGUAAAUGACAAUAUGCGUGGUGGUGAAACUCGUGCAAAGAGGGCGCACAAGAAGACUGCUCUGGUAGCGCUGAGUAAUCCCAAGGUCUACAAUGGGUGGUGCCUGAUGUCCAUCGAGUUCAUCUUUGUCGAACCUGUUGGCGACACGCACAGAGGCCACGGAUGAUGAAACAAGGACCGCAAUGACUUUAAAAUGAAAACUGGCUCCAGCGCUGAGUAGCAAAGGGGGCUAUCAAAACCCCACAAGAGAGUGAAGUUUAUAUUGUUUCCCCCUUGUGUUACGCCGAGCUGGUUGUUUUGUUUAUUUGAUAUGUCCUACAUAAAAUAUGUAUAUAUAUUGUAACUUAGUAGUUUUGUUCUAUUAAAACAGCCCCCAUUUUUUAAUAUUGUAUGUAUAUUUUUACAUUUUUAAACAUGAUUUAAAAACAUUGCACAUUUAUAUUUGUGACGGUUGGAUAAUGUUUGAAAAAAUGUUUUUAUUUAGGUUCAAUUAUCGUUUUGGUUAAUUUUAACAUCAAAAGGUGUAUUUAUAUCUGCAGCUAACAUAAGUAUGACUGUUACUGAAACCUAUUUUUAUAUUAAAAAAUGUCAAUUUUCA